rnacentral:rRNA from 1 species
GGAGUCUGGGCCGUAUCUCAGUCCCAAUGUGGCCGUUCAACCUCUCAGUCCGGCUACUGAUCGUCGACUAGGUGGGCCGUUACCCCGCCUACUAUCUAAUCAGACGCAUCCCCAUCCCUUAGCGAUGAAUCUUUGGUUUGAUUUUGAUGUCAGCAUCAAACAACAUAGGGAAUUAAUCCGACUUU